GGUUCCGUGGCCGAGUGGUUAGGCAAUGCUCUGCAAAAGCAUCUACAACGGUUCGAAUCCGCUCGGAACCUCAA
rnacentral:tRNA from 1 species